CAAAAACAUCGCCUCUUGAUUAACCAUAAGAGGUCCAGCCUGCCCGGUGACAAAGUUUAACGGCCGCGGUACCCUAACCGUGCGAAGGUAGCAUAAUCACUUGUUCCUUAAAUAGGGACUAGUAUCAACGGCAUCACGAGGGUUACACUGUCUCCUUUCCCCAAUCAGUGAAACUGAUCUCCCCGUGAAGAAGCGGGGAUAUAACUAUAAGACGAGAAGACCCCAUGGAGCUUUAAGCUCAACAACACCUCUAUAGAAAUAUACCCCCGUAACCCAAGAGCCCUGUUUGUUAGCUUUAGGUUGGGGUGACCGCGGGGUAUAAUAUAACCCCCACGACGAAUAGGCCUAAAACCUUUAUCCAAGAGCCACUGCUCUAAGAAUCAUGAAAUUGACGUAAAAUGAUCCGAUUUUCGAUCAACGAACCAAGUUACCCUGGGGAUAACAGCGCAAUCCAUUUCAAGAGCUCCUAUCGACAAAUGGGUUUACGACCUCGAUGUUGGAUCAGGGUAUCCUAGUGGUGCAGCCGCUACUAAAGGUUCGUUUGUUCAACGAUUAAAACCCUAC
rnacentral:rRNA from 1 species